AACAAAUGAUUUCGACUCAUUAGAUUAUGAAUUUAUCAUAAUUAUCAA
rnacentral:tRNA from 1 species